UCAAACUUGGUCAUUUAGAGGAAGUAAAAGUCGUAACAAGGUAACCGUAGGUGAACCUGCGGUUGGAUCAUUAAAAAAAAUCAAGGAUGGAUCGAGAGUGCGAACUGUGACGACAGUCACGUUUGUACCUCGUUCUUUCUCUCACGUUUUGUGAACUUUUUGCGGGCGUGCGGUCUUUUCUGUGCGCCCGUUGCCCACAUUAUGCAUUCUCUUUUGAUCUUUAUCUGAGUAUCGGAAGCGCGAACGCGCUACCCGUCGAGAAAUUCAUUCAAAAACAACUUUUGGCAACGGAUCUCUUGGCUCUCGCAUCGAUGAAGAACGCAGC
rnacentral:misc_RNA from 1 species